CGGGGGGCGUGCGGGCUGUUUGUCUCGGAGCGACCGCUGACUCCACUCCCCGUCCGGCUCGGACCCCGGAUUCCAGCGCCGCCGGGCCCCCGCCGUGCACCCGGUGCCGGUGCCGUUCCGCCCAGAGCGGCUUGGAGAGAUGGAGACACUCGCUCUGGAUGAAGAAACCGCUGCUGAGAAAUACUUGGCAGAGAGAGACCCUUUAAAGGUGGAGAAUAGCCAAGUAACAGUGUUCGUCCGUGUCCGGCCCUUCAGCACAAGAGAGAAAAUGGAAAAAAGCAUCUCAAGUAGUCUUCCAGAAGGAGGAAGAAAUAGCAGUGGAACAUCCGGACAUGAAACAAGUUUAUCAUUUUGUUUAUGACGUUUGUUUUUGGUCCUUCGAUGAAUGCCAC